AUGGUGGAGGGGCAGCUCCUGGGGCUCGAUGGCCGAGGCCAUCUCCUGGGUCACUUGGCAGCCAUCACGGCCAAACAGGUACUGCUGGGCUGGAAGGUGGUGGUUGUGUGCUGUGAGGGCAUCAAUAUUUCUGGCAAUUUCUACACAAACAAGCUAAAGUACUUGGCCUUCUUCCGCAAACAGGUGAACACCAACUCUUCCCAUGGCCCUACCAUUUCUGGGCCCCCAGCCACAUUUUCUGACACACUGUGUGAGGCAUGCUGCCCCGCAAGACUAAGCGAGGCCAGGCUGCCCCGGACCGCCCCAAGGUGUUUGAUGGGAUCCCACCGCCCUAUGACAAGAAAAAGCGGAUGGCGGUUCCUGCUGCCUUCAAGGUUGUGCAUCUGAAGCCUACGAGAAAGUUUGCCUACCUGGGGCACCUGGCUCACGAGGUUGGCUAGAAGUAGCAGACAGUGACGGCUACAGGAAGAAAAAGCAGCUCAUGAGGCUACGGAAACAGUCUGAAAAGAACGUGGAGAAUAAAAUUGACAAAUACACAGAGGUCCUCAAGACCCAUGGAAUCCUGGUCUGAGUCCAAGAAAGACUUUAUUCCUCA